GGGAGCCGUGUUUAUUGGACGCCUCGCACAGGUAGGAGGCGGAGUCUUCCAGCGUAGCAGAACGUAUGCUGAAGGUGAGAGGAGAGCCGUCCUCGUGUACCCGCACCACCUUCUCUCCUCUUUUCACCAGCAGUUUUGGAGCAGGGGCUCCGUCUGAGCUGCAGAAAGGCCGGCCAUGGGGAUGAAGAGCUGACCUGCCGCACUUUUCCUGAUGGACCAACCAUCUUUGGUCUUGAAGCUCCAGGUGAUCCUUGGAUCUGGGUUUCCCUCUGCCGAACAGUUGAGCGUGACUGGAGAGUCGGCUCUCACCUCCACUGGUUCUGAUAUCGCCACGACAACAGGAGCAUCUGUGAGGGAGAGGGGGAGGAGUCAGCUCUCAGAUCAGAUUGAACAAGUGUAGCCCUGCAGGUGAUGCUCCCCCCUGAGUCCUGCUUCUGAGGGGUGAACUUGUACUCCACCGGGCCUGAGGUUCCACUCAUCAGGAUGGUGUCCCCUCUGAACCAGCUGAGAUUGAGGUGCGCAGUGGGAUAUAGGUCAGGCACCUGGCAGGUUAAUGCAGACUCCACCCCCAGCUUCAGCUGGUCCUGACCUGAGAUCACCGGGGCUGAAGGGAAGGCUGGAACCACACAGAGGACAGACAGUUCAGGUGACUGAGCAGAGCAGCGACCCCUCAUGCUCCCUCCCCACGGGGUCCAAGGUCAGUACGCUGUGAGUUUGAUUGCUACUGCUCAGAGCAGACAGAGGACGGUCCUCCAAUGAAGACCAGAACAAGGUCGGCUUCACAGGACAGUCCUGCACCGAGCAGACCAGCUGCUGACGCUCACCCAGCCUUAAAAGAGGAUCCUUGGGGAGCAGGCUUACGAGAAGUCCUUGAACGCACCACGAGGAUACCAGCACAAUAACUGUGGAUCAAAACACAAGGAUCACUGUCGAGAUCCCACUAACUGAUGAUCAAACAUGAGUAACUACAACUGUUUAAGUCAGAUGAACUCAUCAAAAUGACCCACUUGUCAAGUUUUUCCCUCCUGAGUGGGGCUUGUGGAAUAAACGUGAUUAAGUGGCCAAUCAAAGGCCAUUCAAUCAGGAUUGAUA